UACGGAGGGGGCAAGCGUUAUUCGGAAUCAUUGGGCGUAAAGGGCGCGUAGGCGGCCUUGCAAGUCAAAGGUGAAAUCCCUCGGCCUAACCGAGGAACUGCCUUUGAUACUGCAUGGCUCGAGGCCGGGAGAGGGUAGCGGAAUUCCCAGUGUAGCGGUGAAAUGCGUAGAUAUUGGGAGGAACACCAGUGGCGAAGGCGGCUAGCUGGACCGGUUCUGACGCUGAUGCGCGAAAGCGUGGGGAGCAAACAGG
rnacentral:rRNA from 1 species